AUGGGAAGGAAACAGAGGAAUUGCAGGGAUUUGGGGGCUGGGAGGGCCCAGGGCCCUGCUGGGCAGCAGCAAGGGGGGGACGGGGAAGGGGACGCGGUGUGGGUGGUGGCAGGGCAGAGAUGCCCAAGGGGCUGCCCGCUUCCAGCACGAGCCCGGUGGCAUGUGGCACUGUCCCCAGUGUCCCCAAUGUCGCCCUGGAUGCUGCUGCCAUCUGCUGGCAGGACCCAAUCCUGCUCCGGUCCUGGGUCCGGCUGCUGCACCAAGGCUGUGGGUGCCCUCUGUCACCCCGCUGUCCCGCAGGGUGGCGCAGCCCCGUGCCUGGCUCCAUGCCCAGCACCCCAGGGUGCCCCACGCCAUGACCCCAAGGAAGCCGGGCCCCAAAAUGCCUCCAUCGGGGCCAUCAUCCUGCUCCGCUCUGCUCCCAAACCCGCCGGGAACCGACCUCCCCCCGGCUCUCCGACGCCUCCGCGCCCACCUCGCCCCAGCCUCUCCAUCCCGUGCCCUUCGCAAGCAGAGGCAGAAGGGGCAAGGCCCAAAUCCUCCCCGCACGUGGGCUCGGCGAUGCAGGAUCGGCCCCUUUGGCUGGCUCUGCGGGGCGGUUUCUCCGGGCACCGUCCAGCCCUGCUCCCUUGGGGCUGCAGGGACGGGACUCUCGCCCCGCGGCUGAGCCCCAGCCCCGUCCCCUGGGUCUGGCUGGGCUGCGGUGACCACGGGGACUCGCCACAUCCCGUCCUCCUCGUGACAGCGAGCACACACACCCAGUUCCCACGGCCCCCCCCCCGGCCUUCCCAGCCUCUCCGCUUCCCCUGGGACCAUGCUGGGGAUAAUGGCCAAGGACCGGGGCACCACCGGGUGCGGGGACACCCAGGGACACCCCGCACAUCCCUCUCUGCUUCCCAUGGACACCGAGCACCGCGGCUCGUCCCUUCCCGGGGCAGAUGGCAGCGGCUUCCUGCUGGAAAAUGCCCAAGCCCGCUGGGAGGGACUGAGCCGCAGCUGUCCCCGGUUUAA
rnacentral:lncRNA from 1 species